rnacentral:piRNA from 1 species
UGUCACAUCCCUCGGCCAUCAGAUGUCCC